UACAGAGGAUGCAAGCGUUAUCCGGAAUGAUUGGGCGUAAAGCGUCUGUAGGUGGCUUUUUAAGUCCGCCGUCAAAUCCCAGGGCUCAACUCUGGACAGGCGGUGGAAACUACCAAGCUGGAGUACGGUAGGGGCAGAGGGAAUUUCCGGUGGAGCGGUGAAAUGCGUAGAGAUCCGGAGGAAGACCGGUGGCGAAGGCGGCCUGCUGGGCAGUUUCUGACACUGAGGCGCGACAGCGUGGGGAGCAAACAGG
rnacentral:rRNA from 1 species